UCUCCCCGCCUUCCUUCUCGCGGACCGAGUCUGGGACUUGUACCUUGCGAGCCAAAGAGGCCGCGGCGGGCGGUUGAUCGGUCGGUCUGUUUCGCGCCCGGCCCUUAGUGUGGAGGGACCCCCUCCCCCCUCAACGGGUUCUGAGGGAGUCAGGGGAACUGUGCGGGGACAUUUUAAUUCAGUCACCAAAAUGCAGCUGCCUCCCUGAGCUGGUAUGGUGGUAGAGGGACUGGGAGGCCCCUGUUUGGCAUUGGCCAGGGCUGAGCUGGCACAGCUCCCUCACCCUGCUGCGCCCGGGGAUCUGGGCGGGCUCCUUUAAGGGCCUGUUGUUUGUAAGUCGAUAGACUUCAUCCCUUGGCGGGCUGAACUGUUUCCCUUCCUUCCCUGCCCGGCAUUCUGGGCAGUGCCCUAGCCAUGGGCGGCAGGGGACUAUUUCAAAGAAGGAAAAGGAAUGAUGUUCCUGAAAUUUCUUGGGUUCCUCACCUUUCUGCUUUUGCCAUGAUCAAAUGUUUGGUUGAAGAUGUGCGCUCCAGGUUACGCUCUGGAGUGGCCAUCAACUCACUGGCCCAGUGUGUUGAAGAGCUUGUCCUCAAUAGCAUUGAUGCUAAAGCAACAUGUGUGGCCAUACGGGUGGAUUUGGAAACCUUCAAGGUCCAGGUGGUGGACAAUGGCUCUGGGAUGGGGAGAGAGGAUCUAAAUAAAGUGGGUAAUCGAUAUUUCACUAGUAAGUGCAACUCAGUGGAGGAUUUAGAGAAUCUGAAGUUCUAUGGUUUCCGAGGGGAGGCUGUGGCCAGCAUAGCAAAUAUGGCCAGCAUAGUAGAAAUUUCAUCCAAAACCAACAAUACAGUGAAAACCUUUAUGAAACUCUUUCAGAAUGGGAAAGCACUGGAAGUCUGUGAGGCUGAAUUGACUAGACCAAGUGGUGGAACAACAGUAACUGUGUAUAACCUGUUCCACCAGUUACCAGUGAGGAAAAAGUGCAUGGAUCCCAUGCUGGAAUUUGAGAGGGUGAGGCAGAAGGUAGAGGCUCUUUCGCUCAUACAUCCUUCUGUCUCAUUUUCCUUAAGAAAUGAUGCUUCCUGUUCUAUGAUGCUUCAGCUCCCCAAGACAAAAGAUAUGUGUUCCCGUUUUUGUCAGAUUUAUGGACUGGGAAGAACACAGAAAUUACGAAAAAUAAAUUAUACAUCUGGGGGGUUUGAGUUAAGUGGCUAUAUCAGUUCUGAAGGGCAUUACAAUAAGAAUAUGCAGUUUUUGUAUGUGAAUAAUAGACUGGUUUUAAAAACAAGAUUGCAUAAACUCAUGGACUUUUUAUUAAGGAAAGAAAGUGUUAUUUGCAAGGCAAAAGGUGGCCUUGCCAACAGACAGAUGAGUUCAAGUCCUGUUCGGCAUCGUGGCCCAGAGCUCUAUGGAAUCUUCAUUAUCAAUGUGAAGUGUCAGUAUUGUGAAUAUGAUGUAUGUCUGGAACCUGCAAAAACUCUGAUAGAAUUCCGCAAUUGGGAUGCUCUUUUAGCUUGCAUUGAGGAAGGAGUGAAAACAUUUUUAAAGCAAGAACACUUAUUUGUUGAACUGUCUGGUGAAGACAUAAAAGAAUUUAAUGAAGACAAUGGCUUUAGUUUGUACGGGACCAGAGCUCUGCAGCCUGCACUCUCUGAAGAAAAGAGCAUACAAGACAAUUUUAAGAAAACAUAUGAUGAUAUUGUAGAUUCCUAUGAAAUGUUUAAUUUGCAAUCAAAAACUGUCAAAAGAAAAGUGACUAUUCAGGAAGAGUCUUCAGAUCUCAUAAGUUCAAAUGAUAAUGCAGAAAAGGAAGUCUCCUCAGGUCUGAUCAUUGCUGAACCAGCUGACACAGCGAGUCCUCUGCUCAACAAAGAAGGCACCACUUCUGAUUUCUCAGGAUUAGGUAUCUCAGAACAAGAGCCAAAAGAAUUCAACAAUCCCAAAAUGGUGUUUGUGAGCUGCAAGUCUUCAGAAAAUCUCUCUGGGGAGUCCAGGUCAGAAAGAGUAGAAAUAGACAGUUAUGCUGAAAUGCCAUGUUGUACUGAGAAUUGUGUGGAAGAUGCAAGAACGCAGGAGGACAGUGCAGCUCAGAAAAGCAGCAUCAACAUUGCCUUCGGAAAUGGUGUCACUCAAGAGCAGCAUGAGAGAGUUGAAGAUACAGCUGAUGGACCAGAACUUCUUUGUGGGAGAGCAUUGAUGGGAAUGUCUGAUGUGAUGAAAGAUGACAGUAGAAAAAGUAAAGGGCCAAAUAAUGAUGGUGAAGGAAGGGUUGUUAGAUCAGUACCACUGAAGUUGUGUUCCACAGGCCUUAUAACUCAUGUGAUGCAAAAUCAGCCACCACAUGAACAAACUGAAAUGAAUUGCUCAUUAAACAUGCAUUCUAAACCUGGUCCUGUAAGUGCCAAGGACAUAUUUGGAAACAAGAUGAGCUUUUCAGUUCAGGGUCUAAAUGUUCAGGAUAUUUCUAGUAUUUUAAAUAAAGAGUAUACUACACUACCCAAUAGAGAAGUAUGCAGAGCAUAUGCAUAUGAGUGGUUAGAAAAUGAGACUGUAUCAGGCCAGAAGAAUGAGGAGGUAGCUUCCAUUACUGCAAGAGAUAGAAGGGAGUGUGUAACAUCACACACUAGAGAGUUGCUUCCUGUCACUUCCUUGGGUUUUGCUCAUAAUGAAAAUAAUCCAAGCAACAGAAGACAAAUGGUUGAGCUAUCUGUUAUGCCCAGAACCCAAGCCUAUAAGAAGCUGAGUUUGGCCAUACAGUUGGGGUCUUUAGAGCGAUUCAGGAGACAUUAUGGGAAGGUCAGGAGUGCACCAUCAGUAUCUAUUCCAGAGAAGAGGAGUGAAUUUGAACCUCCAGGUGUUCUUGGUUGUCUAGCUGAUCUUGACACCUUGAAGAAUCAGAAUAAUAAUUUUGAAUGUGUUAACAUUUGUGAAACCCAAGUUCUGGAACAUGCUGAUUCUAAUAUUUGCCACGCUGGUUGCCUCCUUUCCUUGGAGAGGUCUCAGUUCUGUGGCAAAGAAACUUUGUUAAACAGAAAAGCUCCUUGUGUGAGAGAGAGUCCUUUGACAUUGACUGACUACUCUCAAAUUAGAAGAAAAGACCUAAGUAGCAGUAGAUCACUUGGAUCUCUAGCUUCUAAACUGUCCAGAAUGAAGGGUGACCACAAGGAAGUUUUAGCUACAGAAGUUGUGGGACAAGUUGAUGAACAAUUCCAAAGAGAUUCAAGCAGAAAAGGUAACACAUUGCAUCUUUUGUCUCAAACUGAUGAUUUUUUGCAGAGUUCUUAUCAAAUGUGUCAAAGCUCCUCACAAGAAGUAGGGGUAGACGAUUGCAUCCUUGCGUCUGCCUCUGAUGAGCAGGAUGCUCCUUGCAAAAUGUAUAGUACAAGAGGAGGGACUAUGGAAAAUGCCGUGAACCAGUCACUUCUCAUCAACACAGAUGGGGAGUACAUGGCCACCACAAGCAGUGGUUUGGCAUUACACAGUGAAAAGAGUUAUUCUGAGGGCAUCUCUAAAGAUGGAAAUAUUGUGGAUGUAUCUUCAAAGCAGACUUCAAAAGCCACUGAGCUUCCCAAUGUAACUUUGUCAAGUAGUUUGGAAGUACCUGGAGAUGUCACAAAUGCAGUUCAGUCUAAAAAUGAGGAAUCAAUAUUGUGUCCUGUCUGGAUGCAACGUUUUGAUGUUUCACUGGGUAAGAUGGUAUACGUCAAUAAAAUGACUGGACUAAGCACCUACAGUACUCCUCCAACUGAAGAACUUCAGGCUGCUUGUACUAAAGAUAUAACUACAAUGGCUGUGAAUGUUGUCUUACAGAGUGGGUUUCAGUGCAGGUGCCAUCCUUUUAGAAGUGAGCUUGUUCUACCCUUCCUUCCUAGACCUCGGGAAGAGAGGAUUCUGGCAAGCCAGGAUUUCAGAGAUGCUGAUGGGGAGUCUCUCCAGUCCUUGUUUUCAGAGUGGGAUAAUCCUGUAUUUGCUCACUACCCAGAGGUUGCUGUUGAUGUGAGCAGUGGCCAGGCUGGGAGUCUGGCUGUGAAAAUUCAUAAUAUCUUAUAUCCCUAUCGUUUCACCAAGGAAAUGAUUAAUUCAAUGCAGGUUCUUCACCAAGUGGACAAUAAAUUUAUUGCUUGUUUAAUCAACACUAGGAGUGACGUGAAUGCAGAUGCAGAUGGAAACCUGCUGGUGUUGGUGGAUCAGCAUGCAGCCCAUGAGCGUAUCCGCUUGGAGCAACUUAUUGCAGAUUCCUAUGAGAAGCAACCUGAAGAAUCUGGCAAGAAGAAAUUGCUGUCCUCCACCAUCUGUCCCCCACUGGAGAUUGAGGUAACAAAGGAGCAGAGAAGACUUUUACGGUGCUGCCACAAAAGCCUGGAGGAAAUAGGCCUUGAAUUAUCAUUUCCAGAGAACAACAGCUCCCAGAUUCUAGUUGGGAAAGUGCCCCUAUGUUUUAUGGAGAGAGAGGCCAAUGAAUUACGACGGAAAAGACAGCCUGUGGCUAAAAGCAUUGUGGAGGAGUUGAUUCAAGAACAAGUUGAGCUGUUGCAGACCACAGGAGGCGCACAAGGGACACUCCCACUAACCUUUCUAAAGGUGCUGGCUUCCCAGGCAUGCCAUGGAGCUAUUAAGUUUAAUGACAGCUUGACUAAGGAGGAGAGCUGCCAGCUUAUUGAAGCUUUGUCCUCUUGCCAGCUGCCUUUCCAGUGUGCUCAUGGGAGACCUUCCAUGAUGCCACUUGCAGACAUAGACCACCUGAAGCAGGAAAAGCAGGGAGUCACACUAUUGGUAAUACUCUGCAAUUGAAACACUGUUUUAAACUCAUCUAAGGACAAACUGGAGGGAAUUCAAAGAAGAGCAACAAAAAAAUGGCCAGGGAACUGCAGGAGACUUAUGAGGAGAGAAUACGAGUUAAUUUCUUAGGAAAUGGCUGCCUGAAACAGUACAUUUGCUCUGUGUGCCUGAAUGGGUAAAUCUAUUUGAAAGGUGGAAUUAUUUAGGAUGAUAUGAGGAGUUAUAACCAAGAGAUCUGGGAUGAAAUAAAGAAAGAAAAUCUAGGCUGAAGAUCAGGAGACCAGUCAAGCCUAAACCUAAUUUGUCUAAACUGCGGAGAAUGGCCCAAGCCUGGCAGCUGUUUGGGAAACAAAGGACAGCACUUGGAAGUGUGAGCUAAAAACCAGACCCUCCAGGAAUAUUGAUGUCACACAACCCUUAAUACUUCCAGCCAGCAACGUGAAACCAAUGUUGCUGCUUGGAUGCAACUCCUGAGCCAGGACGGUAUCAGAAGUACUACCUUCACAGCUGACCUUCUGAGGAGUCAAGAUAAUCCGUGGGAAUGUGGCAGGAGAAGGCUCCUAUAGUCCAGAGAAGAGGCUUCAAUGUUCAGAAAUUAUAUUGUGUGCCCAGACUUGGCUAUUCAAGGAUAGAAAGAGUCUCACACUUGCAAGUGUUAAAUUCCCUUCUUGUGAGAAUGGCAGGAUUCCUCAUGGCGGAAGGGUGGUUUUAAUGUAUUUACAAUGCUUGAAAGUGUAGAUGGCUAAGUAUUUAUUAAUAAACCAACACCACUUUCCUCAGG